UUGCCUAAAACAAAACAAAAAACCAAAAUGAAGAUAUCUUAGUUUCAGGUUGGUUGAUAAUAAAUUAAACCGUAUGGGAGACCAAUACAAUAUUCCAAAACUUGGAUGUAAACCAAAAUAAAAACUAAAAACCUGAAGAUGUUCAGGGUAUAGUCAACAAAAAUGGAGUCUGCAUUCCGAGUCAAAUUUAAGUAAGUUAAAGUUACUACUUGCAUUAAUAAUUGCAUCAGACUGUACUAUAUUUCAUAUGUGAUUAUAUGUUAAUGUUCAAACAAUCUGAGGUCUGCUUCCAGGAGUUGGACACAUUAAAAAAAAAUCUCAUUAUGCAUUACUACAACAAACCAGACAUAUGAUGGAACCAACAAAACUGUCUAGUCAGCUGGAAAUCCAGAUUACUUGUAACAGUGGAUGCUAAACAAUGCUAAAAAGCUCAUUUGGCAAGAGCCUUGUGUUACGUAGGCGAAUGAUGGAUUCCUGUAUUAUUCAACUAGCUGCCUGUUGACUGCUGCAUCUACAGUUCUCAUCUCUGGUAUAUGAUAACUGGAAAGUUUCCUUUCGAAUAACCUGCUUCAGACCUCAGCAGGGACACCAAGGAGUACAAUUUCACUUUCAACACACUUUAUAUAGAGAUAAAUGCUCUGUUAUAAACCAACAGAUUUUGUUGGGCCAAUUCUCCUAAUUUAGCAAGUAAAAAUCACUAUGUAAGUUUGUAUCAAUACGAAUUUACUAUAUAAAUAUAAAUGUAAACCAUAUAAAUGACAUUAACUUACCCAAAUUCUCUAUAAGAAACAAAUAAACAAUUUAUAACUGUUCAAAAGGCAAAUAACUCUUUCAUGAAGUGAAAAUGUUUUUCCUACAAAAUUGCUAUGCUCAUAAGAUUCAUAUUCAUAAGAUUGUCAGUUCCCUCUAGUAGAAAUUAAAUGGAUCCAUCUCGA